rnacentral:rRNA from 1 species
CCAGACUCCUACGGGAGGCAGCAGUGAGGAAUAUUGGUCAAUGGACGAGAGUCUGAACCAGCCAAGUAGCGUGAAGGAUGACUGCCCUAUGGGUUGUAAACUUCUUUUAUAUGGGAAUAAAACGUUCCACGUGUGGGAUUUUGUAUGUACCAUAUGAAUAAGGAUCGGCUAACUCCGUGCCAGCAGCCGCGGUAAUACGGAGGAUCCGAGCGUUAUCCGGAUUUAUUGGGUUUAAAGGGUGCGCAGGCGGAAGAUCAAGUCAGCGGUAAAAUUGAGAGGCUCAACCUCUUCGAGCCGUUGAAACUGGUUUUCUUGGGUGAGCGAGAAGUAUGCGGAAUGCGUGGUGUAGCGGUGAAAUGCAUGGAUAUCGCGCAGAACUCCGAUUGCGAAGGCAGCAUGCCGGCGCCACACUGACGCUGAGGCACGAAAGCGUGGGUAUCGAACAGGAUUAGAUACCCCUGUAAC